GAUGAACGCUGGCGGCGUGCCUAAUACAUGCAAGUCGAGCGAACAGACGAGGAGCUUGCUCCUCUGACGUUAGCAGCGGACGGGUGAGUAACACGUGGAUAACCUACCUAUAAGACUGGGAUAACUUCGGGAAACCGGAGCUAAUACCGGAUAAUAUAUUGAACCGCAUGGUUCAAUAGUGAAAGACGGUUUUGCUGUCACUUAUAGAUGGAUCCGCGCCGCAUUAGCUAGUUGGUAAGGUAACGGCUUACCAAGGCAACGAUGCGUAGCCGACCUGAGAGGGUGAUCGGCCACACUGGAACUGAGACACGGUCCAGACUCCUACGGGAGGCAGCAGUAGGGAAUCUUCCGCAAUGGGCGAAAGCCUGACGGAGCAACGCCGCGUGAGUGAUGAAGGUCUUCGGAUCGUAAAACUCUGUUAUUAGGGAAGAACAAAUGUGUAAGUAACUAUGCACGUCUUGACGGUACCUAAUCAGAAAGCCACGGCUCACUACGUG
rnacentral:rRNA from 1 species